GAUGAACGCUGGCGGCGUCCUUAACACAUGCAAGUCGAACGGGAAUUAUUUUAUUGAAACUUCGGUCGAUUUAAUUUAAUUCUAGUGGCGGACGGGUGAGUAACGCGUGGGUAACCUGCCUUAUACAGGGGGAUAACAGUCAGAAAUGGCUGCUAAUACCGCAUAAGCGCACAGAGCUGCAUGGCUCAGUGUGAAAAACUCCGGUGGUAUAAGAUGGACCCGCGUUGGAUUAGCUGGUUGGUGGGGUAACGGCCCACCAAGGCGACGAUCCAUAGCCGGCCUGAGAGGGUGAACGGCCACAUUGGGACUGAGACACGGCCCAGACUCCUACGGGAGGCAGCAGUGGGGAAUAUUGCACAAUGGGGGAAACCCUGAUGCAGCGACGCCGCGUGAAGGAAGAAGUAUCUCGGUAUGUAAACUUCUAUCAGCAGGGAAGAUAGUGACGGUACCUGACUAAGAAGCCCCGGCUAACUACGUG
rnacentral:rRNA from 1 species